rnacentral:rRNA from 1 species
GCACAAUGGGGGGAACCCUGAUGCAGCAACGCCGCGUGGAGGAUGACGCAUUUCGGUGUGUAAACUCCUUUUAUAUGUCAAGAAAAUGACGGUAGCAUAUGAAUAAGCACCGGCUAACUCCGUGCCAGCAGCCGCGGUAAUACGGAGGGUGCAAGCGUUACUCGGAAUCACUGGGCGUAAAGGACGCGUAGGCGGGUUGGUAAGUCAGAUGUGAAAUCCUACAGCUUAACUGUAGAACUGCAUUUGAAACUACUAACCUAGAGUAUGGGAGGGGGAGAUGGAAUUAGUGGUGUAGGGGUAAAAUCCGUAGAUAUCACUAGGAAUACCGAAAGCGAAGGCGAUCUCCUGGAACAUUACUGACGCUAAGGCGUGAAAGCGUGGGGAGCAAACGGGAUUAGAUACCCCGGUAGUCCACGCCCUAAACGAUGUUCACUAGUCGUCGGGAUGCUAGUCAUCUCGGUGAUGCACUUAACAGAUUAAGUGAACCGCCUGGGGAGUACGGUCGCAAGAUUAAAACUCAAAGGAAUAGACGGGGACCCGCACAAGUGGUGGAGCAUGUGGUUUAAUUCGAAGAUACGCGAAGAACCUUACCUAGCCUUGACAUUGAUAGAAUACACCAGAGAUGGAGUAGUGCCUUUCGGGGAACUUGAAAACAGGUGCUGCACGGCUGUCGUCAGCUCGUGUCGUGAGAUGUUGGGUUAAGUCCCGCAACGAGCGCAACCCUCGUCCUUAGUUGCCAGCAGGUUAAGCUGGGCACUCUAAGGAGACUGCCUUCGUAAGGAGGAGGAAGGUGAGGACGACGUCAAGUCAUCAUGGCCCUUAUGGCUAGGGCUACACACGUGCUACAAUGGGGCGUACAGAGUGUUGCGAUACCGCGAGGUGGAGCUAAUCACUUAAAGCGUCUCUCAGUUCGGAUAGCAGUCUGCAACUCGACUGCUUGAAGCUGGAAUCACUAGUAAUCGUAGAUCAGCAAUGCUACGGUGAAUACGU